rnacentral:misc_RNA from 1 species
GGAAGUAAAAGUCUAACAAGGUCUCCGUUGGUGAACCAGCGGAGGGAUCAUUACAGGAUCGAAAGACUCCUAUAACCCCUGUGAACUUACUACAAAUACGUUGCUUCGGCGGGUGCCCCGGGUCUCCCGGGGCGUUCAGCCCGCCGGCAGCCUUCAAAUUCUGUUUCUUUGCGUUGGCAUCUCGAGUAUACAAAAAUAAGUUAAAACUUUCAACAACGGAUCUCUUGGUUCUG